rnacentral:lncRNA from 1 species
CCGCAGCGGUUCGCCCUGCCGGAUGCCUUCUCGCCCCCGCGCCGGGGGACCGCGCCUCCGGGGGCCAUGCGCCCGGCCCGUGCGUCCCUUGCCGCCGCGGGGAGGGACUGGGGCGCGGCACUCGGGACUCACUUGCCGCGCGAGGAGAGGGUACGCUUGCAAAUGAUCCCCCUGCCGCACCGCCAACACACACACACACAC